GAUGAACGCUGGCGGCGUGCCUAAUACAUGCAAGUCGAGCGAACAGACGAGGAGCUUGCUCCUUUGACGUUAGCGGCGGACGGGUGAGUAACACGUGGGUAACCUACCUAUAAGACUGGGAUAACUUCGGGAAACCGGAGCUAAUACCGGAUAAAAUUUCGAACCGCAUGGUUCGAUAGUGAAAGAUGGCUUUGCUAUCACUUAUAGAUGGACCUGCGCCGUAUUAGCUAGUUGGUAAGGUAACGGCUUACCAAGGCAACGAUACGUAGCCGACCUGAGAGGGUGAUCGGCCACACUGGAACUGAGACACGGUCCAGACUCCUACGGGAGGCAGCAGUAGGGAAUCUUCCGCAAUGGGCGAAAGCCUGACGGAGCAACGCCGCGUGAGUGAUGAAGGUCUUCGGAUCGUAAAACUCUGUUAUUAGGGAAGAACAAACGUGUAAGUAACUGUGCACGUCUUGACGGUACCUAAUCAGAAAGCCACGGCUAACUACGUG
rnacentral:rRNA from 1 species